rnacentral:rRNA from 1 species
AUUGAACGCUGGCGGCAGGCCUAACACAUGCAAGUCGAACGAGUGGCGGACGGGUGAGUAAUUUCUGGGAACCUGCCUGAUGGAGGGGUAUAACUACUGGAACCGGUGGAUAAUACCGCAUACCAUCGGAUGUGCCCAGAUGGGCUUAGCUAGUAGCUGGGGUAAAGGCUCACCUAGGCGACGAUCCCGAGCUGGUCUGAGAGGAUGACCGGCCACACUGGAACUGAGACACGGUCCAGACUCCUACGGGAGGCAGCAGGGGGGAAUAUUGGGCAAUGGGCGCAAGCCGGACGGAGCCAUGCCGCGGGUGUGAAGAAGGCUUUCGGGUUGUAAAGUACUUUUAGUGGGGAGGCGGUACCCGCAGAAGAAGCCCCGGCUAACUCCGUGCCAGCAGCCGCGGUAAUAC